rnacentral:sRNA from 1 species
GCAGUGUGGCUGCUUGCAGACAAAGCUGCUUAUUUAUUUGACAGAUAAAAGACAUGAGCAAGUAGGACGAUUAGUCCGGAUUGCGAAUGGCUGUUGCGAUUUCGAGAGUUCGCAGAACGGAGAAAUCGU